rnacentral:rRNA from 1 species
AUUGAACGCUGGCGGCAGGCUUAACACAUCCAAGUCGAGCGGAGAUGAGGUGCUUGCACCUUAUCUUAGCGGCGGACGGGUGAGUAAUGCUUAGGAAUCUGCCUAUUAGUGGGGGACAACAUUCCGAAAGGAAUGCUAAUACCGCAUACGUCCUACGGGAGAAAGCAGGGGAUCUUCGGACCUUGCGCUAAUAGAUGAGCCUAAGUCGGAUUAGCUAGUUGGUGGGGUAAAGGCCUACCAAGGCGACGAUCUGUAGCGGGUCUGAGAGGAUGAUCCGCCACACUGGGACUGAGACACGGCCCAGACUCCUACGGGAGGCAGCAGUGGGGGAGAUUGGACAAUGGGAGGAACCCUGAUCCAGCCAUGCCGCGUGUGUGAAGAAGGCCUUAUGGUUGUAAAGCACUUUAAGCGAGGAGGAGGCUACUGAGACUAAUACUCUUGGAUAGUGGACGUUACUCGCAGAAUAAGCACCGGCUAACUCUGUGCCAGCCGCCGCCGUAA